rnacentral:rRNA from 1 species
AUUGAACGCUGGCGGCAGGCCUAACACAUGCAAGUCGAGCGGAGCGGCGGACGGGUGAGUAAUGCCUAGGAAUCUGCCUGGUAGUGGGGGAUCAAGUCCGGAAACGGGCGCCAAUACAGCAUACUAUCAGAUGAGCCUCGGUCGGAUUAGAUAGUUGGUGGGGUAAAGGCCUACCAAGGCGACGAGCCGUAACUGGGCUGAGAGGAUGAUCCGUCACACUGGAACUGAGACACGGUCCAGACUCCUACGGGAGGCAGCAGUGGGGAAUAUUGGACAAUGGGCGAAAGCCUGAUCCAGCCAUGCCGCGUGUGUGAAGAAGGUCUUCGGAUUGUAAAGCACUUUAAUUUGUGAGGCGGUACCAACAGAGUAAGCACCGGCUAACUUCGUGCCAGCAGCCGCGGUAAUAC